rnacentral:lncRNA from 1 species
UUCAAUGGUGAAAAAUAUACUUAUUCAUUCUGCAAGACUAUUUUAUUUGUGUAUGUUAGAUAAAACCAUUAUUUCAUGCUUAGCUUUCAUGUAUACAUGAUUCUUUCUGGCUAUUGAUGAAAAACGUUGGCCAAGAUUUUUUUUCUGUCAUCAUUAUGCGAAACAAACAACAUUUAAAAUUGAUUUGGAAUAUGAUACAAAGUCCGGUGUUUAUGGCUGUUGCUUUUUAUAUAUGUGCAAAGAAACACAAGGUACAUUUGUAAUAAUCUCAAUACAAACACAUGGCAUAUGGUUAUAUAUUGUAAUGACAUGAUUUGUGAUUGUUCUUUGC